UAGCCAAAUGCCUCGUCAUCCAAUUAGUGACGCGCAUGAAUGGAUUAACGAGAUUCCCACUGUCCCUAUCUACUGUCUAGCGAAACCACAGCCAAGGGAACGGGCUUGGAAAAAUCAGCGGGGAAAGAAGACCCUGUUGAGCUUGACUCUAGUUUGACUUUGUGAAGAGACAUGGAAGGUGUAGCAUAAGUGGGAGACUUUGUCGCCAAUGAAAUACCACUACUCCCAUCGUUUCUUUACUUACUCGAUGAAGUGGAGUGCGACUCUUAUCAGAGUCACCCUACUUGUUCAAAGUGAUGGGGUGUCCAUUGGGCACCCUACACGAUCCAAUUCGAGGACAUUGUCAGGCGGGGAGUUUGACUGGGGCGGUACAUCUGUCAAAUACUAACGCAGGUGUCCUAAGGUUAGCUCCGUCAGGACAGAAACCUGG
rnacentral:rRNA from 1 species